UACUUUAAAUACUUCGCUUUGCGUAUUUGACAUUUGAUCUUUACAACAUAAAACGUAAAACGACUUAAAAUGUAUGUUUUUUUGGAGGCGAAAAUAUAUAUUUUGGUGCAUUAGUUUAAAAGUUCUUAUGAACCUUGACAUAAGUUUGAAUUUCUAUUGAGGCAUAUUACUGACCAACUCACAGUAAUUGCGGACGGUAAGCGGACAUGUUUAACUGAAAGUUUCACGUCACCCACCAAAGACGUACCGUAGUUUGAGCUUUUAUACUUGCUCAGUACUUUUAAGAAACUGUGGUUAGUUGUCAGAAAAAUCAACAAAUCGUAAACAUGUUGAUUCACAUGAUUUCUGUCUUCGCGUGUGCUAAAUUAGUGCCAGAUUGGUCGACCGACACGUCUUCAGUCUUUUUUUAAUAUGAGAGAAAUGGAGUCUGGAUAUUGAGAAUACACGCAACUGGGUCACGGUUUUUGCCCUUGAAACAUGAAAACGCCGUCUAAAAUUCCCAAAACUGAAAGUGAAGAGAAGCAGACGAGCCUGGAGGAGAUUAAGAAGCUUGAUGUUGAAGUGAUGACAACUCCUCUUUCUGCGAUCAGAUGAUGAGAUUAGAAUCACAAGGCUGUGCGACGAGGUGACAGGCCUGAAGAAGGAUGCGAUGAAGGAUCUACAUCUUCACCUUGGCUUGCGAGCAUCCAGUGAUGUGUGAUGUCCAGUCUGCUUUUGAAGAUGAAAUGCAAUAUAAUUGAUCGCUGCGUUUUCCCAUCGAUGAUUUAAUGUCAUUAAGCUAUGCUGCAGUAUUUACAGUCCGGUUGCUACACGAAGCCUAGCGUUCCUAAUAACCCUGCGCAGAUGUUGCAAGGUCUGUAAAUUGCAUAAAUGCAAGAACUAAACACAGAUGUUUGGAGUUGCCUUAGCCCUUAAUUAUUAAACUUCACUGCGUCUGACUGUCAUUACUUUUGUGUGGAAAUGAUCGUUCUGUGAAUCCGACUCAUUUUCUUCGUCCAUUUUUCUCCCUUGUCGUAAAAUAUCUGCCUUUGGAGAAAAGAUUUUAACAGAUGAUAUGUGUCAUUCUACCAACCAAAACAUUAAAAUUCAGUAGGAGACACAUU